rnacentral:rRNA from 1 species
GGAAACGACUGCUAAUACCGGAUGUGCCUACGGGUGAAAGAUUUAUUACCUGGAGAUGAGCUCGCGUUGGAUUAGCUAGUUGGUGGGGUAAGAGCCUACCAAGGCGACGAUCUAUAGCUGGUCUGAGAGGACGAUCAGCCACACUGGGACUGAGACACGGCCCAGACUCCUACGGGAGGCAGCAGUGGGGAAUUUUCCGCAAUGGGCGAAAGCCUGACGGAGCAAUACCGCGUGAGGGAGGAAGGCUUUUGGGUUGUAAACCUCUUUUCUCAAGGAAGAAUACUGACGGUACUUGAGGAAUAAGCAUCGGCUAACUCCGUGCCAGCAGCCGCGGUAAUACGGAGGAUGCAAGCGUUAUCCGGAAUGAUUGGGCGUAAAGCGUCCGCAGGUGGUUAUGCAAGUCUGCUGUUAAAGAGUGGAGCUUAACUCCAUAAGGGCAGUGGAAACUGCGUGACUAGAGUACGUUCGGGGCAGAGGGAAUUCCUGGUGUAGCGGUGAAAUGCGUAGAUAUCAGGAAGAACACCGGUGGCCAAAGCGCUCUGCUAGGCCGUAACUGACACUGAGGGACGAAAGCU